rnacentral:rRNA from 1 species
GAUGAACGCUAGCUACAGGCUUAACACAUGCAAGUCGAGGGGAAACGACAUCGAAAGCUUGCUUUUGAUGGGCGUCGGCCGGCGCACGGGUGAGUAACGCGUAUCCAACCUGCCCACCACUUGGGGAUAACCUUGCGAAAGUAAGACUCAUACCCAAUGACGUCUCUAGAAGACAUCUGAAAGAGAUUAAAGAUUUAACGGUGAUGGAGGGGGAUGCGUCUGAUUAGCUGGUUGGCGGGGUAACGGCCCACCAAGGCGACGAUCAGUAGGGGUUCUGAGAGGAAGGUCCCCCACAUUGGAACUGAGACACGGUCCAAACUCCUACGGGAGGCAGCAGUGAGGAAUAUUGGUCAAUGGGCGAGAGCCUGAACCAGCCAAGUAGCGUGCAGGAUGACGGCCCUAUGGGUUGUAAACUGCUUUUAUAAGGGAAUAAAGUGAGUCUCGUGAGACUUUUUGCAUGUACCUUAUGAAUAAGGACCGGCUAAUUCCGUGCCAGCAGCCGCAGUAA